rnacentral:rRNA from 1 species
UAAGGAAUAUUGGUCAAUGGACGAAAGUCUGAACCAGCCAUGCCGCGUGAAGGAUUAAGGCCCUCUGGGUUGUAAACUUCUUUUAUCUGGGACGAAAAAAGGGUAUUCUUACUCACUUGACGGUACCAGAGGAAUAAGCACCGGCUAACUCCGUGCCAGCAGCCGCGGUAAUACGGAGGGUGCAAGCGUUAUCCGGAUUUACUGGGUUUAAAGGGUGCGUAGGUGGGUUUGUAAGUCAGUGGUGAAAUCUCCGAGCUUAACUCGGAAACUGCCGUUGAUACUAUAAAUCUUGAAUUAUAUGGAGGUAAGCGGAAUAUGUCAUGUAGCGGUGAAAUGCUUAGAUAUGACAUAGAACACCAAUUGCGAAGGCAGCUUACUACGUAUUUAUUGACACUGAGGCACGAAAGCGUGGGGAUCAAACAGGAUUAGAUACCCUGGUAGUCCACGCCCUAAACGAUGGAUACUCGACAUUAGCGAUACACUGUUAGUGUCUGAGCGAAAGCAUUAAGUUCCCC